UAUCUUCUUCUUCAUUCACAUUAAAUACAGGGAAAUCCUAAAGUUUGUCAUUUCAGUCUCUCGUAUCUCUGCAAACAUGAUUUGGAUUAAAACAAAAUAAAUCACCCAGAAUAUUAACAUGGACAGAUGUCGACUGCUGAUUCUUAUAACAGGUGAUAUUUUUGGGAAUGUCAUCACACCGGUCCACAAUGAAGUAUACAAAACAGAAAAGGACAUUAUAUCCCUGUCCUGCAACCACUCUUCAGCAUCAAGUCUAUAUUGGUAUCGCCAAUAUCCUGGAGCUGCUCCUGAAUUUCUUUUAGUCAUUCUACAUGCAACUGGGAAAGUUUUACAGAAAUCUAAAGUUGUGGAACUAGAUCCUCGAUUCUCUGGAAAACUGAACAAAGAGAAAACCCACACAUAUCUUGAAAUCUCCUCUGCUAAAGUGAAAGACUCAGCAACGUACUACUGUGCCCUGGAGCCCACAGUGACAGGAAAAUAGACAACACUGUACAAAAACCCUCCCUACAUAAAGGGUAAAUCAUCCCACAGAAUUGUAGAAAUAUGGAAUGAAAA